UAAUAAAUUUAAUAAUAAAUUUAAUCGUAUAGCACAGAAUGUUUCCAUCACGCUACGCUUUGUUGACAUUUCUCCGAUUUAAUAUUUAAUCCUCUUAACGCGAUUUCCAUACAAUACAGACAGUCGAAUAUUUGUUUACUUUUUUUCCUUUUACCGCGCGACACUCGACGAGGCAAACGAUGAACGAUGUAUAAUAUAAAUAUAAAUAUAGACGCUCGUAAAUUUUCAUAACCUAAGGAAUAAAGACGGUUUCAGUGAGCAGGUAGCUACGAACGGAGACGGUCGCUCCCCAGUUUCGCUUUGAAGCGUAAUCGUGUCACUUAAACGUGUUUCAGACUUUUUAAAUAAUUAUUCCGUGGAUCCUCGUCGCGUCCGGACUUCUUUCCGCCUCUUCUUCCUUUCUCUCUCUCCCUCUCUCUCUUUCUCUCCCUUUUCCUCUCUCACGACUUGGAUACGUUAAUUUAACUUCUAAUUUUCUAACUUUUUUUCUUUUUUUUUACCCUCUAAUUUGGUUGAAAAAUUUUCAUCUUUUCCAUUCCGCUUGGUUACAUGUACGAAAGUGUGAACGAAGCUUUCCGGAAACGGACGAGAAAUGGACACCCGAGUGACUUCCGAGUUUCCAAGCAGGGUGAAAAGAAAAACAACGAGAGGAGAGUUUAAAGAGGUAGGAGGGGAAGGGUGGCGCGCGAUUGUUUCGUCGUUAGCUUGUUAUGCACACACGAUACGAGGAAAUUUGCGGCAAGGAGACAGAAGUUUCUUGGAAUAUAUGGAAUUGUUAAGUAAUAUUCGUGCAAAAAAAAGGGAUUAAACUUUUUUUUAAUUUUUCGAAUUAUUUUAUUCCACUUUCGCGUAUCGUUUUGAAAUUAUAGAAUGAUAGUGGUAGUAGUAAUAGUAUUGCUAGCAGGUAAUAUGAAAGGAUUGUUAAAAAUUAUUAAUUCGAUUUUUAAUGUCGAGUAAAGAUUUUUUUAUUAUAAUGUAUUUAAGUAUUCAAAAUUCGUUUAAAAUAAUCACGAAACAAAACAAUUUACUAUAUGAAUCCGCAUGUUUCGAAAUCAUUUAUAAAGUUUAUAUCGCGUAUUUAAUAAUUAUCAUGUAUUUUACGAAUUGUUUAUUAUUUACAUAAUAAUAAUCAUCAUAUUUAACUUCCACUCAGAUCGAACAAAAUUUAUUUUUCGAUUAGAAAUUUGGCAAAAUUUGUGUUUCGCGAAAUUUAUUUUCUAAAAAAAAAGAAAUAAUUACCCUUUUCUUUUUUUUAUUUACGUGAAUAAUCAUUGAAAUCGAAAAAAAGAGGGGAAAUAAGCUUUAAAAAAACAUAAUAAGAUAAAGAAGAAAGAAAACGAAUCCAAUUUCGAUACCGUCCCUCUAUUAUCCCCGUGCUCGCGAUUCGAAUCACGAUUCCUAGUUCCUCACACUCCAAUCAGAAAUGUUCUCGCGUUGAAAUCGCGAUUGCCUGACGUAUUUUCAAUCAGACGCGUAACGAUGGCCGGAAAAUCAUCGGGAUCGAAGAUACAGGGGGACCUAUUCGAGGCUGAAUCUCGUUAGUCCCGUGAUUUUCCUCGGCAUUCGGCGGAGAUUCGCGGCACGAACGAUUACCGAGGUACCAAUCAGUUCCUCUUAUCCCAUCUCUCCUCCCCCUCCUCUCUCUCUCUCUCUCUUUCACUCUGCACAAACUGCAUUAACGAGAACUCAUCCUCGAAAUGGGAUCAGCUGCUUUACAGCUGCACGCGUUACGCGUCGAGGAAUGUCACUCCAACGCCUUUUCAAUUCGCAUCUGUGAUGAAAAUACGGGAAUAUACGGGAAGAAAAUUUAAACUCCUCCACGCUUUCCUCCCCUCAAAGCUUUCCUCCUUUCAUCUCGAAGAUACUUUUAAGCCCAUUCAAUAUUUAUUCCCUCUUCCCCCCCUUUUACUCGUUGGUCAAAGGUGUCUUCUUUCUUUCUCCGCUCCGCUGAAAUUUUUACCGCCGUUUACCCGAUACCAGCGUUAAAGAUCGGCAAGUAGCUUUAUUAUAAGCGAGGAUUCCUUGGACGCGAUUCAAAAGAUUUCGAACGACAGCGGGGGGGAUGAUCGGUUGCUUCGAAGUUUCGCAAAUACCAGCAUACGCUUUGAGGCUGUUUCGUUUCGUUAAAGGGAAUGUAUUCGUUGAAUAACGAUAGCUAAACUCUUUAAUUUUCAAAUUUACUUUUCCUUAUUGGUGUUGAGAAAAUGUAAAAAUGUGCGAAUCCAGGAAUUGGUGAAUUCAAAGGGAGGAAGAGAAUAAUAGAGAAGAUCCUCGUGAAUUUUAAUAACGAAAGAUACGAAAGAUUGAUGAAGUUGGAUAUAGAAGAGAUAUAGAGAAUUGUGAACCUUUUCCUGUUUAGUCGUGUGAACGUUUACGUGUUUCUUUUUGGAUAUGAGAGCGACAAGAGGAUUGGCCAUACGAGAGUUGGCAUGCAACUGAAACGAAACAUGGAAAAUUGGCUGGGCAAUGUGGAAGAAAAAACCGCGUAAUUUUUCCUCUCCGGAGAAUUAUCCAGGAGAUUCCUGAAAGUCAGCAUACAGCGGCUAAGGGGGAUUAGGGACUGUUGGUCAGAGGAGAGGAACGUGGCAUGCACAAGAUCCCAGUUUAUGACGUAAUUCCACAUUGCUGAGGUCAUCAUAGCCUCGUAUCCUUAAUCCGGCGAAUCUUGCCGGAAUUCUCCAAGGAGUCUUAUAUACCAAGGAGGGUAGUUGGAAAAUUUCAUAACGAGAAUCGGUGAAACGAUAGUAACAAUACUAUUAGAAUUGUACGCCAAGUUGCCUUCUCGUGUCGAUUCUCGAACAGAUGUCGCGCCAAUUUUUCGAGCUAUUUCCCGGGGAAAAGAAAAAAAAAGAAGGAUCGUUCGAAAGAGAAACUUUGGUUGAAUCUUUUUUCAGAAGAGCUCUCAGGGAAAAGAUUUCGUGCGGGAUCGAAAUGGGUCAAGGAUCACGUUCCUUUCGAAGUAAGGAAUUUAGAGUUGAAUCGAACUGGGAUAAGUGAACUUGGACUGGAAUUUCGUUCUUGGGAACUCGUUAAUCGAGGUUUUCAGCAAUAAUUAAAGGAAUUGAUAAUUGAAGAAUUCAAUGAUCUAAAAUUUAAAAGAGAAAGAGAGAGAGAUAUUAUCGAUUUAUCACGAUCUAAAUACCCAUUUAACAGUCACCAUCCGAUAAACAGACGACCAUCAAUAUGGAAACGAGCUUUCUUAGCUGCGGUCGCUAACGAAAGCCACGUUUUAACGAGAAUGGCGUGUUCUUCUCUUCACAUUCCGCAGAGUCUUCUCUGGAAGAGAGAAGGUCGCGAAACAAGGUCUUGUCGUCGUUUGUCUCGCGAGUGACAGUCAUUGUCCUUACUCAUCCCUUAAUGGACUCCUUAUUUCACUCGAGAUAAUCGCGGGGUCCCGCGGGGUCUGGCGAGACCGAGGAAAUUCUGAUGACGCGAGAUUUUGGACGUUUCUCCAGGAUUAUUUCAGAAAGAGAGGGUCGGUGAUUAAUGGCCGGCUCUAAUUGAAAUUUCGUGUUGCGCCGUCUGGUAAGAGUCUCGAAUAAAAAAGGGGAGGGCAUCAUCCAACAGAUAUCUCUUUCGUUUUCUCUAAAAAUCUUCCCAAUUUGUUUUAAAAGUUUUUGAUCAUCAUUCGAAAAAUUAUUUUCGAUGUUCGAAUGAAGAUUAAGUUAAAUAGAAAUUAUACUAAUUUCUUCCAUUCUCGAGAUUCUAUCAAGCCUGUGAUAGAAUUCUCCUCUUUCUAUAUUCUAUAUUCAACUGAUUCUAAUCGAUUCAUAGAAAUUUUUCUGUUAAAUGUGCAGCUCAGUUUUAUCCGAAUCGCGGCAACAUCACGCCAAGACUUAUUUUCGAGCCUCUUGGAAGAAAAUAACGAAUCCAUCCCACGACCCAUUUUCCUCCACCGAUCCCUCCGCUUUUCCUUUUUCCAUCCACUUCUCCUCGUCCCGACACUCUAUUCUCCUGACACUCGACCGAGAGCGUGGCAAAGAAGAUUCAAACGAAUCUCGACGGUGUUGCUGCCUGUUCUCACCUUGGAAUACUUUCUGUCGUUGAAGAAAACGAAGAAGGGGAGAAGGGAGGGGUAAAAAAAAAAGAAGGAAAGAAGGGAAAAGAGCCUUUUGUCCGCAAGGCAACAAAGAUGGGGAAACAAAGAGUAUAGAGAGAUGAGAUUUGCUUUCGAAAUAAUUAAUUUCGAUCUUUGUUCCGUUUCUGGUUUCACCAAUGAGCUAGAUUUGUAGGAUCGACUUGCGAAAUAUUCGAGACGGCUGGUUAUACUCGUCUGACCGAAUACUGGCCCGUUUCACUGCCUCGUGGCAAUCUUUGGUUAACUCUCUUCCAGCAGUAGUCGUGUUUGAAACACGAGGAUUGAAAAGAAGAAACUUGACAAGUCACAUAUUUUUUUUUCUUUUUCAAUUUUACAGAAGAAGAAAUUUUAAAAUUAUUUCUCUGAACACUUAUACAUGUUGAAAGUCUGCUUGUCAUUUUUUCUUUUCAACGCAUUAAGGCUCCAACUUUAAUUAAUUUCGGUGACAAAGAGAAAGGGAAAUUGAGAAGAAUAAUAGAUAAUUGAAGAGAUCAAUAAGAAGUACAAAUAUUAAAAUAUUCCUGCUAUAUAAUUAACGAGUUAUUAAUAUAAUCCCUAUUCUCUUAGUCGAAGCAAAAAAUGUGGAAAACAUCGUACAUGGAUAAUCAAUAAUUAUAUUUUUCAAAAUAUUCACGCGAGUAACAAGAAUCGCGACAACUAUCUCAACCAUUCUGAAUAAAAAGUCUCUAUCCAUCAUCCCGAAAAUUACGAUAUACGUCAUCAAUCUAAAAGACUUGGAAAGCGAGCGGAAUGCACGAUUCGCACAACAACAGCACGUGCACUCGUGCUGUCGAGUCUCUCUCUCUCUCUCUCUCUCUUUCUGGUGGGUAGUAGCUCCAUACCUCAGGAAUGCAUCGGUGAAUGUUAAAAAUGGAGUGGAAAGUAUGGAAAGUAUCCGAGCGAUUCGCCCCAGGACCGGAAGUUUCGCAUAGUUGUUCGCGCGGGAAAGUCACGUAGUCGGGAGGGGAGGGAGGCGUUUGUUUCGCGGCAAGUACGAAAUCGUGACGGGUCGGUGAACCGCUAUUAUAAAUCAGUUUCAACUUGCAACGACGCCGGACAUGGAAUAUGUUAUUCGACACGUAUCCUCGAUGCACGUACGACACACUGCCAACUUCCAAACAGCCCUUGAACGAUUCGCACGAUCGCGUGUUAUCUAAAUGGGAUUGUUGCGCGAACUUCCGAUGCACGCUUAAGAUAAUGGAGAUCCCAUCGGAUGAUAAUGCAUUUGGAAGGAGUACGUUUCAAUGCACGUUCAAUUUAACGUACUUUCUACGCGUAUAAAUUUUGAUUUCGCAAUUCAGAGUUAUAAUUUGAUGAAAAUUUGUUUUACAUGUAAGAAUAUUCAAUAUUUGUGAAAGUGACAGUUGAAAAACACGAUUCAUAGAGAGAUCAAGAAUUGUUAUCGAAAAUGUGAAGUACAAUAUAUAUAUAUAAGGAAUUUUCAUUUCCUAUUCAAUUUUUUAAUGUAUUAACGCGGAGAAAGAAAGGAAAGAUUAAGAAGGCUCUUUUCCUAUAAAUUUAAAAAGUUGAGCGAUCCUCGUACGAUAAUUUUCACAGUACAAUGAUUAUGAUGCAACGAUACAAUGAUCAAUUAUGAAUGAUUAUUAUUUGAGCGAAAAUUAACGAUAGAUUCGACGUAAUGUAUCUACCUGAACAUGAUCUGUUUGAAUUCAACGAUGAGGAUUAGUAUUAACGCUGUUUAUCGUUCGGACUAAUGAGGAUGCGGUUAGAGAUUAGUCUGGUCAGUUUAUUAUGAUUAGUGGAGUUAUCGAAUUUUGUAUUACUAGUUACUAGUAUAGGAUCGUGAAUAACGAGCGAAUAAAUUGUACGAACGAUAAAGGUGAUUAUAUAUAUUUUGUAAAAAUCACGAUGAUAAUUUCGAGCGAAACGUUCUCUAUAAAGUUCGAUUGAAAAAUUGUAUCCCACAAAGAUUUCGAAGAUUAUUUUUCUUUUACGAAUUACCUUUCUUCGUCAUAGAACAAAUAAUUAAAGAUCUCGUUCUAAUUUUGAAUCAAGGUUUCAAUGUUGAGCAAAAAGGGACACGCAUCACUGACCUAGAAGAUACGUUCCAUUUCCUUCAUCAAGACAAAAUUCAUUUUACACUUUGUGUUGUCACAAGACACAAAUCUACACGUUCUUCAAGAAAGCAUAAAUUCCAAGCCCUUAAUUUACAUAGAAUCUUCCCUUCGCGAAAAUUACAGCAAUUCCAAGUGUUACACUUCAAGAAUAAAUAAUGAGAGAGAAAGAGAGUAUACUCUCUAUUCGAAAUCGAGUGAACGAAAAGGCAUAAUGAAUUGUUUAAAAAUUGUGAAGAAAAAAGAAAGAAAAGAAAAAAGAAAGGAUUUGCACGAAGCGAAGCACGGAAGAUCGUGUUAUGUAUCGCGUCGAAUAUCGAGUAUUUUUGCUCGAAUCUCGAAGCUGUCGGAGAAAAAGAGAAAACGGAUGAAAUAAAGACAAGGAAUCGAGAACGAGUCAAUUGGAAAUGUUACAUCGAGAUGAAACUUCUAUAAAAUGCGUGAAAUAUUCUUAUCUAUGGGAAUGGUGUUUGAUUUCACCAUCAUUCAUAAAUAUUUUAUUAGAAGACGAGAAAUUGAAUUAAGAAUUAUAUAUUUAGCAGAGGAAAAGAUAGUAUUAGAACCUUUUGCUGAUAAAUAUUUCUUGUAUCAAGAAAAGUUAAGAGGCUUCGUGCUGGAAUACAUUUGAUGAAAGGCACGUAUCUAGUGUACGUGUAUUUUCAAAUACAAAAUGCUUUCAAAGCUAUAUGCGUUCCAUAUUUGCAAAUCGCGCAGAAAAGAGGAUUAUUUGAUUUACGAAUAAUAGAAAAUAUUACUAAAAAAUUAUUUUUUAAAACGCCAUUUUUUAUAAGAGUGCUUUUGAUUAUUUUUUUCUUCCUUUUACCAUAGUUUUUUCAAAUCAGAUUCAUUUCUCUUAUUCGUAUACCAUAUUAAUUCUCGGAAGAUCGAUUUAACAGCAUAUAAGAUAGUCUCGAGAAAGAAGUUGGGGGAAAAAUUAAGCCCCAAAUUAAUAAACUUCGCGAAUCCAAUAUCAACGUCGAAUCGAGCCCAACUCGCCAAAGUUCGAGGCCAAAUUAGCCUAUAUUUUGCAAAGUUCAGGGAGAGGGGAGGGAGAAUUGUCGCAUUACAUCAUUCGUAAGCAGUUUGCUUACAAAUAUUGCAUUCGCGGAAUGGCAGAAGUCGCGGCAUCGAGCCAAAUCUCGGCGCGGAAGUCGGACGAAGAAAGUGACACGAUAAAUAAAUUUAUCGAUCGACGACUCCCCUCGCGUUAAAUAAUUUAUCGGGCAAAAAAUCACUUCUCUCCGGCUAUCUCCUCUCGCGAAAUUUCAAAUAUUUCGGCCGCUGCACUUACGACUUUCCAACGGGAUUUAUGCCCGAUGUCUGGCGCGUGAUUCAUUAAUCCACUUCUCGACGUCGAUCGCGGAAUUUACUUGGCCCGGACGAUUUAACACCGGCAAUAAAGUAUAAAAUGUGAAAAUCCUUUUCUUUUUUUACGAGUGCAAAUCAUCCUUAAACAUUUCGCUGUAAAUCUAUGCGAUAUUAAUUUAUUAAAAUUUAAGAGAAAUGGCUCGGGGAGAUUAAAAUGUAAAAAAGAAAAAAAGAAAAAAGGAAUGAUAUUUAUACGAGUGUAUAUAAUAAAUAUUACAAUCUUUUUUUAUAAUUUCACAAUAUUGAUAUAAUAACUUCUGAUGGAACUGCAAUUACAUUUAAUUAAAUAAAAUUAUAUGAAAUACGUGAAUUUCGAUAAAAUUAUACAAAAUAUUUAAUUAAAUAAUUCGCGUAAAUUCAGAAAUUCGUAUUAAAAUGUAAAAUAUAUCAUUCCUCAACAUUUUUGUACAUUAUUUUUACGUAUUUUUGCGAUCGUUUGACGCGUUAAGAGAAAUCUUUUUUCGUUUCCUAUUGAUCGAGAAAGAAACGACGAAAGAUUCGAUCGAUUCAAAGGGAUACAUUCUAUCGCUAUAAACGAUUCAAUCGUCGUCAAGAUUAUACAAUUAUUACACGAGUUAAUAACUAUUGAUAGAAUUAAAGGAAUAAUUCACGUUACAUAAAUUCUCGUAUUAAAGUUGAUCGAAUUUUCAAAACUCGGUCAAAACGAUAAAUCGAAAGUGAUGAACGAAUUCUGUCUCCAAAUAGCCAAUGUGAAAAUUCUCGUAUUCAUCGAUGCGAUCGUUUGCUCGCGAUUAUUUAGUUAUCACGAUAGGGUAUGGAGAUUCGUUUUUUCAUUGUCAAACAUACGAGGGGUUGAAAAGCGAACGGAGAGAGCGGAAGCCAUUGACGCGUGUCGCGCCAAGAGAAUUUAUCGCUAAUUAAUUUCAAUCUGACCAGAAUUUCGCGAAACGCUGCUUGUAAAACGAGUUCAAAAAUAACGAGAAAGAAAGAAAGAGAGAGAGAGAGAGAGAGAGA